AAUUUGAAAUUUUGGGAAGUGGUGUGACACUCCAAAUUCCUUUUUGUAGGUCCUCAUUUAUAACUGUGUUUUGCCAUCAAUUUUUUUUGCCUCUAAGAGUUGCGAGCCAGAUUACCUUUGUCCAUUUUCAAAUAUGGGAUUCUUCUCCGCCCUUGGACGCCUCCUCUUUGCCUCCUUCUUCAUCCUCUCUGCUUGUUUAACAAUAAUGGUGGGCCAGCAGCUGUGGAAUUGUCUUCAAAGGUAGCUGUUCUGAGGAGAAAUUUAUCAUCCAAGUUGGGGUUGCUAUACCUGAUAUUGAUGUCAGACAUGUGGUUGGUCUUUCAUUAUCUCUCAAAGGGAUUGGAGCUCUUCUAUUUGUUUUGGGCUCAAGAGUUGGAGCUUAUCUUUUGCUUCUUUACUUGGCUAUUAUCACUCCGGUUCUUUUCGAUUUCUUCAACCUUAGUCUACUGAAACCUACUUUUGGUAUCAUGUUAAGUGAUUUCUUAGAGCACAUUGCACUUUUUGGUGCUCUCCUUUUCUUCAUAGGGAUGAAGGGCACAAGUCCAAAGAAGCACUCAAAAAAGAAGACCCAAAAACAAAAAGCAAAAGCAAAAGCACAUUAGAUUUGUCAAAAGCAAAGAUUGGCCAUUGGAUUGGAUUAAUUUGCUGUCAUUCAGUUCUUAGAUUUACACACAUUUUCACCAUUGAUGCAAAAGUUUUGUUUUUGAUUUUUUGGAUAUAUGUUUUGUUUUUCAUUGAUGCCAAAUAGCUUGAAUGAGUAGUUAUGUUCAAUUUGAGCGGCAUUAAGGACUUUGUACUUCUAGCUAAGUUUUGUUAUGGCAUUGUCUUUAUUCUUCUUAAUUGAAAAUCAAAUCUGAUUUAGCA